CAGUAGCCGCGGGAAUACAGAGGGUGCGAGCGUUAAUCGGAUUUACUGGGCGUAAAGCGUGCGUAGGCGGCUUCUUAAGUCGGAUGUGAAAUCCCUGAGCUUAACUUAGGAAUUGCAUUCGAUACUGGGAAGCUAGAGUAUGGGAGAGGAUGGUAGAAUUCCAGGUGUAGCGGUGAAAUGCGUAGAGAUCUGGAGUAAUACCGAUGGCGAAGGCAGCCAUCUGGCCUAAUACUGACGCUGAGGUACGAAAGCAUGGGGAGCAAACAGGAUUAGAUACCCGAGUAGUCCCUGUCUCUUAUAC
rnacentral:rRNA from 1 species